CAUAGGUUUGGUCCCAGCCUUCCUGUUAACUCUUAAUAAACUUACACAUGCAAGCAUCUACACCCCAGUGAGAAUGCCCUCUAGGUUAUUAAAACUAAGAGGAGCUGGCAUCAAGCACACACCCUGUAGCUCACGACGCCUUGCUUAACCACACCCCCACGGGAAACAGCAGUGACAAAAAUUAAGCCAUAAACGAAAGUUUGACUAAGUUAUAUUAAUUAGGGUUGGUAAAUCUCGUGCCAGCCACCGCGGUCAUACGAUU
rnacentral:rRNA from 1 species